GACUUGCUCUGUGGGACAGUGGCGACGGGUGAGUACACGUGAGCAACCUGCCCCUGACUCUGGGAUAAGCGCUGGAAACGGCGUCUAAUACUGGAUACGAGUAGCGACCGCAUGGUCAGUUACUGGAAAGAUUUAUUGGUUGGGGAUGGGCUCGCGGCCUAUCAGCUUGUUGGUGAGGUAAUGGCUCACCAAGGCGUCGACGGGUAGCCGGCCUGAGAGGGUGACCGGCCACACUGGGACUGAGACACGGCCCAGACUCCUACGGGAGGCAGCAGUGGGGAAUAUUGCACAAUGGGCGCAAGCCUGAUGCAGCAACGCCGCGUGAGGGAUGACGGCCUUCGGGUUGUAAACCUCUUUUAGCAGGGAAGAAGCGAAAGUGACGGUACCUGCAGAAAAAGCGCCGGCUAACUACGUGCCAGCAGCCGCGGUAAUACGUANGGCGCAAGCGUUAUCCGGAUUUUUUGGGG
rnacentral:rRNA from 1 species